UGAUUUUGAUUUGUGAAAAACUAGAUUAUUUGUUUAUUUUGUGGAAAACAUUUUUAAUGACUUUUUGUUAUGAUGAGCCACAAUAUAUUGUGGAAGACAUACUUCUAUCUUUAUUUUUUUUUUCUUUUUUCUUUUUGGGUUGGAUAUAUGCUUUUGUCAUUAGUGUGCAAAAUACAUUAUGGUAUGAGAAAUGAUGAAGUUAUUUUUUCUUUUGUCAAUGGUUAAUGUAAAUUAUCUCCACUUUGUUUCAAUUUUCUUUGUGCACUGGAAUCAGAUGCCAACUCACUAAAGAAACAAGUGUAUGUCAUAACUCGCCUAGAAAGAACACACAUAUACGGUAUACAAGUCAUGCUAGAUGUCCAUGGAAUAGGAUGUAGUUUGGAUUGAAAUGAUGAAUUUGAUUCAUCCACGUGAUAGUCACAUGAGUUUAUUCACCACAAGGGUUAAAGUGACGUGUCACACCACAGGGACCAAGAAAAAAAAUUGACCAAAAAUAAAUAUUAAAUUAUUUAAACAUUUUUCCCAAUAAAUGUGGGACCCACCCCUACAAACUCACCACCCUAACCCUUCUUCCCCAGUCCACCUGUCUCCCCCAGUCCACCGUUCUCCCCUAACCUUUUUUCCUUCACCACCAAAACCAAAGCCCCUCCCAAACCCCCGCCCUUGUCCACCAAUCACUACCUUCUCUCCCUGGACCACCCAGCUCGAAUGGAGUCUCAGUGCACCACCCAGCUCAAACUCCUCUCUUACCUCCAAUCACAAAUCGUCCCCUCCACCUUUCUUGGACCCCAAACUCAACCCCACAAACCCGAUUGAACUCAUUCUCCCUUCGACCCCAGAACACUAGUGUAGCCGCCUCCUGUCCCCUGAGGAAGACGAACAUGAAAAAGACGAAGAAGCCUUAAAGCCUUCCCGAGCUUCUCGCCACUCUAAGUCCUUGUGGGAAUUCAUUUCCUUCUCUAAAAUAGUAGCCCAAGAACAUGCUCACUGGAGCACCACCUUCAUCGAUUUCAAGAUCUCCAAAGCCUUGCAGCAAUAAUCAAUCCCCAGUGUCGUUGCCCAAGAUGAUGCUAGCUCUGAAUUCGAAUCUAAACCGGAAUCCGACAAACAGGAAGAUUAGGAAGAUUGUUGUCGUUGCCCAAAACUUCCCCAGUGUCGUUGCCCAAGAUGAUGCUAGCAUGAUUGUAUGCGCAAAGAUUGACAAACACACCACCGCGUGUUCGAAAUAUAAGGGAAAGAAAAAGAUGGAUGCACGUGGAUUUGCUUGUGGCGGUGGCAAAGGAGUCAAAGGGGCGUAGCAACAGAGCCCACCCAGUUUGCAAAAUUUCAGGAUUUGAUUUGUUUGAGUAAAUUAAAUUGGGGACCAAAAUGGUAAAGUAAUAGGUAGUCAAUAAUUUGGGCUGAAGAGCAGCAGGGAGAGAGGGUGGUGAUUGGCAGGUGAGGUAGGUGACGGGGGAGUGAGUUCUGGUUUUGGUGGUGAAGGAAGGAAGGUUCAGCAAAGACGGAUAGAUUGAGGAAGAAGGGUGAGUUUGUAGUGGUGGGCUCCGCAUUUUUUAAUAAAAAUAUUAAAAUAUUAAAAUGAUUUAA